rnacentral:rRNA from 1 species
GGGUUGUGAGGUUAAGCGACUAAGCGUACACGGUGGAUGCCCUGGCAGUCAGAGGCGAUGAAGGACGUGCUAAUCUGCGAUAAGCGUCGGUAAGGUGAUAUGAACCGUUAUAACCGGCGAUUUCCGAAUGGGGAAACCCAGUGUGUUUCGACACACUAUCAUUAACUGAAUCCAUAGGUUAAUGAGGCGAACCGGGGGAACUGAAACAUCUAAGUACCCCGAGGAAAAGAAAUCAACCGAGAUUCCCCCAGUAGCGGCGAGCGAACGGGGAGCAGCCCAGAGCCUGAAUCAGUGUGUGUGUUAGUGGAAGCGUCUGGAAAGGCGCGCGAUACAGGGUGACAGCCCCGUACACAAAAAUGCACAUACUGUGAGCUCGAUGAGUAGGGCGGGACACGUGGUAUCCUGUCUGAAUAUGGGGGGACCAUCCUCCAAGGCUAAAUACUCCUGACUGACCGAUAGUGAACCAGUACCGUGAGGGAAAGGCGAAAAGAACCCCGGCGAGGGGAGUGAAAAAGAACCUGAAACCGUGUACGUACAAGCAGUGGGAGCACGCUUAGGCGUGUGACUGCGUACCUUUUGUAUAAUGGGUCAGCGACUUAUAUUCUGUAGCAAGGUUAACCGAAUAGGGGAGCCGAAGGGAAACCGAGUCUUAACUGGGCGUUAAGUUGCAGGGUAUAGACCCGAAACCCGGUGAUCUAGCCAUGGGCAGGUUGAAGGUUGGGUAACACUAACUGGAGGACCGAACCGACUAAUGUUGAAAAAUUAGCGGAUGACUUGUGGCUGGGGGUGAAAGGCCAAUCAAACCGGGAGAUAGCUGGUUCUCCCCGAAAGCUAUUUAGGUAGCGCCUCGUGAAUUCAUCUCCGGGGGUAGAGCACUGUUUCGGCAAGGGGGUCAUCCCGACUUACCAACCCGAUGCAAACUGCGAAUACCGGAGAAUGUUAUCACGGGAGACACACGGCGGGUGCUAACGUCCGUCGUGAAGAGGGAAACAACCCAGACCGCCAGCUAAGGUCCCAAAGUCAUGGUUAAGUGGGAAACGAUGUGGGAAGGCCCAGACAGCCAGGAUGUUGGCUUAGAAGCAGCCAUCAUUUAAAGAAAGCGUAAUAGCUCACUGGUCGAGUCGGCCUGCGCGGAAGAUGUAACGGGGCUAAACCAUGCACCGAAGCUGCGGCAGCGACGCUUAUGCGUUGUUGGGUAGGGGAGCGUUCUGUAAGCCUGCGAAGGUGUGCUGUGAGGCAUGCUGGAGGUAUCAGAAGUGCGAAUGCUGACAUAAGUAACGAUAAAGCGGGUGAAAAGCCCGCUCGCCGGAAGACCAAGGGUUCCUGUCCAACGUUAAUCGGGGCAGGGUGAGUCGACCCCUAAGGCGAGGCCGAAAGGCGUAGUCGAUGGGAAACAGGUUAAUAUUCCUGUACUUGGUGUUACUGCGAAGGGGGGACGGAGAAGGCUAUGUUGGCCGGGCGACGGUUGUCCCGGUUUAAGCGUGUAGGCUGGUUUUCCAGGCAAAUCCGGAAAAUCAAGGCUGAGGCGUGAUGACGAGGCACUACGGUGCUGAAGCAACAAAUGCCCUGCUUCCAGGAAAAGCCUCUAAGCAUCAGGUAACAUCAAAUCGUACCCCAAACCGACACAGGUGGUCAGGUAGAGAAUACCAAGGCGCUUGAGAGAACUCGGGUGAAGGAACUAGGCAAAAUGGUGCCGUAACUUCGGGAGAAGGCACGCUGAUAUGUAGGUGAAGUCCCUCGCGGAUGGAGCUGAAAUCAGUCGAAGAUACCAGCUGGCUGCAACUGUUUAUUAAAAACACAGCACUGUGCAAACACGAAAGUGGACGUAUACGGUGUGACGCCUGCCCGGUGCCGGAAGGUUAAUUGAUGGGGUCAGCGCAAGCGAAGCUCUUGAUCGAAGCCCCGGUAAACGGCGGCCGUAACUAUAACGGUCCUAAGGUAGCGAAAUUCCUUGUCGGGUAAGUUCCGACCUGCACGAAUGGCGUAAUGAUGGCCAGGCUGUCUCCACCCGAGACUCAGUGAAAUUGAACUCGCUGUGAAGAUGCAGUGUACCCGCGGCAAGACGGAAAGACCCCGUGAACCUUUACUAUAGCUUGACACUGAACAUUGAGCCUUGAUGUGUAGGAUAGGUGGGAGGCUUUGAAGUGUGGACGCCAGUCUGCAUGGAGCCGACCUUGAAAUACCACCCUUUAAUGUUUGAUGUUCUAACGUGGACCCGUGAUCCGGGUUGCGGACAGUGUCUGGUGGGUAGUUUGACUGGGGCGGUCUCCUCCUAAAGAGUAACGGAGGAGCACGAAGGUUGGCUAAUCCUGGUCGGACAUCAGGAGGUUAGUGCAAUGGCAUAAGCCAGCUUGACUGCGAGCGUGACGGCGCGAGCAGGUGCGAAAGCAGGUCAUAGUGAUCCGGUGGUUCUGAAUGGAAGGGCCAUCGCUCAACGGAUAAAAGGUACUCCGGGGAUAACAGGCUGAUACCGCCCAAGAGUUCAUAUCGACGGCGGUGUUUGGCACCUCGAUGUCGGCUCAUCACAUCCUGGGGCUGAAGUAGGUCCCAAGGGUAUGGCUGUUCGCCAUUUAAAGUGGUACGCGAGCUGGGUUUAGAACGUCGUGAGACAGUUCGGUCCCUAUCUGCCGUGGGCGCUGGAGAAUUGAGGGGGGCUGCUCCUAGUACGAGAGGACCGGAGUGGACGCAUCACUGGUGUUCGGGUUGUCAUGCCAAUGGCACUGCCCGGUAGCUAAAUGCGGAAGAGAUAAGUGCUGAAAGCAUCUAAGCACGAAACUUGCCCCGAGAUGAGUUCUCCCUGAC